UUUUUCAGUAAUUUAUAUUUUCUACUAAUUGUUUUACAUUCAUCAAAUAAGUCAUGGAAGGCAUUUAAUAAUUCAUCAAAUGAUAAAUCUGCAUCAAUUAAAUUUAUUACCUCUUCUCCGAUGGCCAUUAAGGCGUAAUGAGCAACUUACUCGGUGUUGGACUCCUCUUCUUCGGACGCGCUCGAGUCAUCCCACGUUGCUUUGAGCGCCUU
rnacentral:lncRNA from 1 species